UUUGAACUGGACGUGAACAGUAAGAUCUGUAUCAAUCCCUGUUAGAUCAGAGCCUGGACCUUACUGUCUGUAGUUUAGGCUUCAAUCCAAGCCUCUCCUAUACUGUGCAGAGUUAAUAUCAUCACUGAACUUGUUGUUGGUUACGGUGAGGUGGAUCAAACUAAAGAGUAACAGACAGACAUCUGGAGGCUCGAACGGAAAUUAAAGACUUCAUGCUCACACCUCAAGAAACAAGAAUCUAGUUAAAUACUGAGCUCUGUGGUAGUGAAGCACUCUCUUGAAGUUCUUACAUCGUCGUCUUCCUUGAGAAGGAACGAGUCUCCGGUGGUUAUUAAAGCCUACGAUGAAAAGGGAAGAAGACCUUGGAGACAUUUCUACUGAGGAAUGAUAUAAUCUCUGCUGAUUUACUCUGCUGGUAUUUACAAAGCCCUCCUCUCAGGAUAAGAACAUUCAUCCCCACGCCUCCCUUGUAGUGGUGCUGAUCAUCUGUAGGUGAUCGAUGUGAUCAACAAGUUAUUGAUCAGCGUUGACGGCAUCACAGGCGGUGAGCAGAGGUUUAUGAUACAGGAUAUUUCACUGUGGAUAUCCUAACCUUUGGUCGUGGCACCACCCUGGUUGUUACAGGUAAGAUCACUGCUUCAUGGUUUCUAUGACUUUGUGUUUCAUUUUAUGUUG
ensembl:lncRNA